rnacentral:rRNA from 1 species
UACGUAGGUGGCAAGCGUUGUCCGGAAUUAUUGGGCGUAAAGAGUGCGUAGGCGGUCUAUUAAGUUCCAUUUGAAAGCCCAUGGCUUAACCAUGGAGGGUGAUGGGAAACUGGUAGACUUGAGUACAGGAGAGGAAGGUGGAAUUCCACGUGUAGCGGUGAAAUGCGUAGAUAUGUGGAGGAACACCAGUGGCGAAGGCGGCCUUCUGGCCUGAGUCUGACGCUGAGGCACGAAAGCGUGGGUAGCAAACAGG